UAUGGCACGCCAUGUUCUCAACAACAACCGCUGCUCUCACCUUCUUGGGUUUGGGCAGAAGGGCGCCGCUUGACGUGCACACGGCCGUCCGGCUCGGCGUCCCGGUCCGCCCCGGCACGGUGGAGGGACUCGGCGGUGAGAGGGGGCCGUUUCUGACAGCUGACAGCCUGAGCAGGCGACCGAGGACAGCCGAGGACAUGUUCACAGCUUUUUGGCAGGUGAUGCGGCAGCAAUGCGGAAAAAGACCAGAAAAAUCGUUCUGCAGAUUUCGCUUUGCAACACCGCCAUCUGGCGUCGAUAGGUGAUUCGUCGGUGCUUCAUGAAGGCGAUCCUAACCUGUGGCGCCGUUGACCGCCAUGAGGUUGGACUUUCCGAUAAUGAGGCAAACAGGCGACGGUUGCGUGCUCAGCUGCAGACCGCACUGGAGGUACAUGACGGGCUCGUUCAGAACCUCCCUCCACAGCACCCGGCCGCUGGCGGCACAGACGGCCACCGCGCUGUAAACUGGAACGAUAAAAUCCUUUUUAGAGGGGGGAGAAAUAAAACAAACCCAAAACAUCCUUUUCACAGAGCUUACCUUUGCUCCUUUGCGUUGCAUGCGUGCCGUUGGUCCAUUCAGUAACGCCCAAAAGCACGUCCUCCACCGAGUCGCCGUCAACGUCCCAUAAAGCCAGCGCGGGCGGAGUGACGCCUGAACAGCGAGCAAGGAGAAAUGUUAGCCUACUCCCGCUAAGUCCACCAGAUGCUCUAGCUGAAGCUGGUUUUAUUUUUAUUUGAAGCCUUUUUAAGUGUCGGGAUGCAGAGAAACACAAACCAUGCUGUAUAGUCACAAGUGACUAAAUAUAAAAAGAGACGUGGCAGUCUAGACAGCAGGACUCCUCACUUCCUGAGUCAUCUAUACCUCCUGCGUCUCCCAGCGCUCGUUCCCACCGCAGCUUCUUCUCCAGCUCUGCCUUCUGGCAGGGAACCAGGAACGCACACAGCAGUACAAUCAACAUGGCACAGGCAAGAGGCACCAGGAAAAACGCGCUCCGGAUCGCAUUUUUCGCUCUCUUCCUCUUCUCCUCUGCCUGAGAGCUGUGGGAGCCCAGCCCGGCGGCCCCAGACGGCCCGGCUCCUCCUCCCCGGUCCUCCGCGUUCCCCAGCUCCCCGCGGCUCCAGUACUGGCCGCCCCUCAGGUCGUCUCGGCUCCUUCUGGGCUUGCCGGAAACCUGGUCCGUCCACUGGUCGUCGUCUUCUUCUUCCUCCUCCUCCUCGACCCGCGCCCCGUCGGUGGCGCCGACGAGCCUCCCCAACCUCCCAUUGCGCAGCUUGGAGGAGCCCGGGGCCAGGCAGCCGUCCCUGCCCAGGCCGUUUCUGGGGUAGUUGAGCACGAGGUCAUCCUCUUCGCUCUCGUCGUCGCUGUCCGCCUGGGUGAGAGGGUCGUACUCCCCGAGCUCUGAGCCCUUCUUCCCUGCGGGAACAAGAACAAAACUGGAUUGGUUGCUAUGACAACACAGAGCACUCAUAAAACCAAGGAAGUAUGCUCUUCAGGGUUACCAUGGCCACUCGUACAAUGCUAGCAGAUGUUCUUAGUAGGUCAGCGGUCUUCCAUUUCACUUUUUUGCAUAAUCGAUUGGAUAUUGCAUUGAGAAUUGAUCAAAGUUUGUUGGGGGUUUUUUUUAUAACCAACUCUUGCCUUAAAGGCUCCACAACCUCCUGUCUGUGUUGUUGCUUGGCCUUCAUGAUGAGGUUUGUUCACGAGCAAACCUUUGACGGCUUCAGAGGUUUCUUUGUUUUUCAACAAACAAAGAAAUUCAUACUGAGAUUAAGUUAAACAGAUUCAACUGUUUACUUACUAGGCGGCUUCUGGAGUUGGCUUUUAUUUAGGAAAGCAAAGGAAGACUGAAUAUGAAUUUCAUUUGUAAAAAAAAACUAAUAAUAAUAAUAAUACAUAUACAUAGAUAUAUGUCUAUAUAUCUAUCCACUACCUUACUGGUGGUGGAGAAGGAAUGUUUGGAAUUAGCACCUUCAGGUGUAGAAACUCUGUUUUUUUCCAAAUUGCAGGAAUGUGCCUCCAAGUAGUCUGUCACCACCGUCCUCAUGCAAAUUCUGUUCAUUUUUAGCAUUACUGGCAUAUUUGUUUAUUUUUCACGCGUCUAUAUUUGACUUUAAAUACUUUAUUUAUGCUGAUGAAGAAGCUAAACAUAGUCUGAGACUAUCUUAACCAUAGAGCCAUAGCACAAUAAUAAUUAAAACAACAAUAAAGUUAUAUAUAUUG